rnacentral:rRNA from 1 species
GACAGAGGGUGCAAACGUUGCUCGGAAUUACUGGGCGUAAAGCGCGUGUAGGCGGGUCGGUGUGUCGGGUGUGAAAUCCCCAGGCUCAACCUGGGAACUGCAUUCGAAACUACCGGCCUAGAGUGGUGGAGAGGGAAGUGGAAUUCCUGGUGUAGAGGUGAAAUUCGUAGAUAUCAGGAGGAACACCAGUGGCGAAAGGCGGCUUCCUGGGACACCAACUGACGCCUGAGACGCGAAAGCGUGGGGAGCAAACAGGG